rnacentral:rRNA from 1 species
GAUCCUGACUCAGGAUGAACGCUAGCUACAGGCUUAACACAUGCAAGUCGAGGGGCAGCAUCAUCAAAGCUUGCUUUGAUGGAUGGCGACCGGCGCACGGGUGAGUAACACGUAUCCAACCUGCCGACAACACUGGGAUAGCCUUUCGAAAGAAAGAUUAAUACCGGAUGGUAUAGUUUUCCCGCAUGGGAUGAUUAUUAAAGAAUUCCGGUUGUCGAUGGGGAUGCGUUCCAUUAGG